UGACCUCGUGAUCCACCUGCCUCAGCCUCCCAAAGUGCUGGGAUUACAGAUGUGAGCCACUGCGCCCGGCCAAGCAUAUGAAGAAGUUCUGAGUUAUCAAUCUCCAACAACAUGCCAGUGAUUUUACCAGCAAGAAUAGGGUACAUGGCUUGAAUAACAGGAAACAGCUGUUCACCCAACAUUUGCUUUUGCUCUUGAGGGGCAGAUGCCAACAUGGAAGCAGUCAAAGGUUCCUGACCUUGUACAUGAACAGCAGGCUAUUGCAUUGUCACUUGUGGCUGUGCAUUAAGAUGUUGCUGAGGACUGCGAACUCCCACAGUGUAUUUAUACUGUGGAACGGUGCGGACAGCAGGAGUAGCUGCAGCAGAUACCAGCAGAUACCAGGGUGUUAAUAUGUAUGUGAAAAAUCUUGAUAAUGGUAUUGAUGAUGAACGUCUCCAGAAACAGUUUUCUCCAUUUGGUACAAUCACUAGUGCAAAGGCUAUGAUGGAGGGUGGUCGCAGCAAAGGGUUUGGUUUUCUAUGUUUCCCCUUCCCAGAAGAAGCCACUAAAGCAGUUACAGAAAUGAACGGUAGAAUUGUGGCCACAAAAACCACUGUAUGUAGAGUUAGCUCAGAGCAAAGAAGAGUGCCAGGCUCAUUUCACUAACCAGUAUACGCAGAGAAUGGCCAAGUGUACAAGCUGUGCCCAACCAUGUAAUUAGCCCCUACCAGACAGCACCUGGUUACUUCAUGGCAGCUAUUCCACACUCAGAACCGUGCUGCAUACUCUCCUCCUAGCCAAACUGCUCCACUAAGACCAAGUCCUCGCUGGACUGCUCAGGGUGCCACACCUCAUCCACUCCAAUAUGCCUGGUGCUAUCCACCCAGCUGCUCCUAGACCACCACUUAGUACUAUGAGACCAGCUUCUUCACAGGUUCCACGAGUCAUGUCAACAGAGCGUGUUGCUAACACAUCAACUUUCCAUUUUUUAACCAAAAUUAUCCAACAUUAGAAUUCAAGGUUUUAAUAUUCUUAAUUUGAAAACUUAAUGUUAAAGAUCCAUAAAUUAACAGUUUUAUAUUUCAUAAUUUAUCAUUCUCAAAACAGUAUAACUUUUAGAAGCAUCAAUCAAGCACCUCAAUUAAUAUAUAAUCUUUAGUAUCAAGAUUUGCUUUAUUUAUUUUAUUUUACUUUUUUUGAGACAGAGUUUCACUCUUGUUUCCCAGGCUGGAGUGC